rnacentral:rRNA from 1 species
GACGAACGCUGGCGGCGUGCUUAACACAUGCAAGUCGAACGGAAAGGCCCUGCUUUUGUGGGGUGCUCGAUUGGCGAACGGGUGAGUAACACGCGAGUAACCUGCCCUUGACUUUGGGAUAACUUCAGGAAACUGGGGCUAAUACCGGAUAUGAGCUCCUGCUCCAUGGUGGGGGUUGGAAAGUUUCGGCGGUUGGGGAUGGACUCGCGGCUUAUCAGCUUGUUGGUGGGGUAGUGGCUUACCAAGGCUUUGACGGGUAGCCGGCCUGGGAGGGUGACCAGCCACAUUGGGACUGAGAUACGGCGCAGACUCGAACGGGAGGCAGUAGGGGGGAAUAUUGCACAGUGAGCGGGAGCGUGAUACAGCGACGCCGCGUGCGGGAUGACCGCUUUCGGGUUGUAAACCGCUUUCGCCUGUGACGAAGCGUGAGUGACGGUAAUGGAUAAAGAAGCACCGGCUAACUACGUG